AAAUUGAAGAGUUUGAUCAUGGCUCAGAUUGAACGCUGGCGGCAGGCCUAACACAUGCAAGUCGAACGGUAACAGGAAGCAGCUUGCUGCUUCGCUGACGAGUGGCGGACGGGUGAGUAAUGUCUGGGAAACUGCCUGAUGGAGGGGGAUAACUACUGGAAACGGUAGCUAAUACCGCAUAACGUCGCAAGACCAAAGAGGGGGACCUUCGGGCCUCUUGCCAUCGGAUGUGCCCAGAUGGGAUUAGCUAGUAGGUGGGGUAACGGCUCACCUAGGCGACGAUCCCUAGCUGGUCUGAGAGGAUGACCAGCCACACUGGAACUGAGACACGGUCCAGACUCCUACGGGAGGCAGCAGUGGGGAAUAUUGCACAAUGGGCGCAAGCCUGAUGCAGCCAUGCCGCGUGUAUGAAGAAGGCCUUCGGGUUGUAAAGUACUUUCAGCGGGGAGGAAGGUGUUGAGGUUAAUAACCUCAGC
rnacentral:rRNA from 1 species